GAUGAACGCUAGCUACAGGCUUAACACAUGCAAGUCGAGGGGUAACGAGAGGAAAGCUUGCUUUCCUUGUCGACGACCGGCGCACGGGUGAGUAACGCGUAUCCAACCUGCCCCCAACUAGGGAAUAACCUUGCGAAAGUAAGACUAAUACCCUAUAAUUUCCUCAGAAGUCAUCUGACGAGGAAUAAAGAUUUAUCGGUUGUGGAUGGGGAUGCGUCUGAUUAGCUUGUUGGCGGGGUAACGGCCCACCAAGGCAACGAUCAGUAGGGGUUCUGAGAGGAAGGUCCCCCACAUUGGAACUGAGACACGGUCCAAACUCCUACGGGAGGCAGCAGUGAGGAAUAUUGGUCAAUGGGCGGAAGCCUGAACCAGCCAAGUAGCGUUCAGGAUGACGGCCCUAUGGGUUGUAAACUGCUUUUAUACAGGAAUAAAGUUAGCCACGUGUGGUUAUUUGUAGGUACUGUAUGAAUAAGGACCGGCUAAUUCCGUGCCAGCCGCCGCAGUAA
rnacentral:rRNA from 1 species